CAUGUUUUGAAUGACCCUGAUUUCCAGCCUGUGAAGGUUGAUGACGAUGAGAUUGUGUUUCGUCAGGGAACACUAACAGUCGCUUGCCAGCUGGGUGAGAAGAGUCCCAUAUCAGAUGGACAUGCUAUUCAGUACAGCGACAUGAGCUUGAAAAGGAAAGUGACAAAGUACUUUAAGCUCGACCUAACCGAGGAGAGUGAUGAGACAUCGGUGACACUUGAAGUGGUUGAAACCUAUGGACAGACGAUCA